rnacentral:rRNA from 1 species
GGAAUAUUGGACAAUGGAGGCAACUCUGAUCCAGCCAUGCCGCGUGAAGGAAUAAGGCCCUAUGGGUUGUAAACUUCUUUUAGACGGGACAAAACCCCUUUACGUGUAAAGGGUUGAUGGUACUGUCAGAAUAAGCAUCGGCUAACUUCGUGCCAGCAGCCGCGGUAAUACGAAGGAUGCAAGCGUUAUCCGGAAUUAUUGGGUUUAAAGGGUGCGUAGGUGGGUAUGUAAGUCAGUGGUGAAAUCCCCGAGCUUAACUUGGGAACUGACAUUGAAACUAUAUAUCUUGAAUACCGUAGAGGUAAGCGGAAUAUGUCAUGUAGCGGUGAAAUGCUUAGAUAUGACAUGGAACACCAAUUGCGAAGGCAGCUUACUAUGCGGUGAUUGACACUGAGGCACGAAAGCGUGGGUAGCAAACA